rnacentral:lncRNA from 1 species
AUGCUGUGUUCUUCAACAUGGUCCUAUUCAUUAGGACACGUCGUACUAAAACGUUUUGCAACACACAACGGAAACAAGCGUUUUACCAUCGGUCACUUUCCCUGUUUGUUUGUUUGGUGCUUAAUGAAUAUGACUCGGUCUCUCUCUCCAGGGCCCACCCAGUCUCUCUCCAGGGCCCACCCAGUCUCUCUCCAGGGCCCACCUAGUCAUCCCCACCCAGUCUCUCUCCAGGGCCCACCCAGUCAUCCUCCCUCUCUCUCCAGGGCCCACCCAGUCAUCCCCACCCAGUCUCUCUCUCCAGGGCCCACCCAGGCACCCUCCCUCUCUCUCCAGGGCCCACCCAGUCACCCUCCCUCUCUCUCCAGGGCCCACCCAGUCACCCUCCCUCUCUCUCCAGGGCCCACCCAGUCACCCUCCCUCUCUCUCCAGGGCCCACCCAGUCAUCCUCCCUCUUUCUCCAGGGCCCACCCAGUCACCCUCCCUCUCUCUCCAGGGCCCACCCAGUCUCUCUCCAGGGUUGGACAGUCCGCUCCACCAUCGUAGUCCUGUGAGCUCGGGGCCGACGUUGGCGGUAGUUCAUUGGUCUUGGGAGCAUCAUCUCGGCUGGUGGUGGAGUCUGUAGACCUCUACACAGCACGUACUUUGAAAAGAAACCAAAGAAACUGUCAUUUUUUUUGGGGGGGGGGGGUUUGAAUUAAAGGUGGGGCUUGGGGAUGGAUAAACCAAUCAGGUAAGGAAGGAGGA